CCAGACUCCUACGGGAGGCAGCAGUGGGGAAUAUUGCACAAUGGGGGGAACCCUGAUGCAGCGACGCCGCGUGGGCGAGGAAGUAUUUCGGUAUGUAAAGCCCUAUCGGCAGGGAAGAAGAAAUGACGGUACCUGAAUAAGAAGCCCCGGCUAACUACGUGCCAGCAGCCGCGGUAAUACGUAGGGGGCAAGCGUUAUCCGGAUUUACUGGGUGUAAAGGGGGCGCAGACGGCGAUGCAAGCCAGGAGUGAAAGCCCGGGGCCCAACCCCGGGACUGCUCUUGGAACUGCGUGGCUGGAGUGCAGGAGGGGCAGGCGGAAUUCCUGGUGUAGCGGUGAAAUGCGUAGAUAUCAGGAGGAACACCGGUGGCGAAGGCGGCCUGCUGGACUGCAACUGACGUUGAGGCCCGAAAGCGUGGGGAGCAAACAGGAUUAGAUACCCGAGUA
rnacentral:rRNA from 1 species